rnacentral:snRNA from 1 species
GUGCUCACUUUGGCAGUACAUAUAGUAAAAUUAUAACAAUGCAGAGAAGAUUAGUAUGGUCCCUGUGCGAGGAUGACAUGCAAAUUCAUGAAGCAUUCCAUAUUUUU